rnacentral:rRNA from 1 species
UACGUAGGGUGCGAGCGUUGUCCGGAAUUAUUGGGCGUAAAGGGCUCGUAGGCGGUUUGUCGCGUCGGGAGUGAAAUCCACUGGCUUAACUGGUGGCUUGCUUUCGAUACGGGCAGACUGGAGGUAUGCAGGGGAGAACGGAAUUCCUGGUGUAGCGGUGAAAUGCGCAGAUAUCAGGAGGAACACCGGUGGCGAAGGCGCACAUCUGGCCCGAUACUGACGCUAAAGCGCGAAAGCUAGGGGAGCAAACGGG